GCCAUCCAAAAUAGCCACCUACAGCAAGAUUAUCAAUGCACAAGUUUAAAAAAUAACAAAAGUACUAUUAUACCAGAACAAAUGGUAGUUUGAAACUAAUAAAACUCAUUGGUAUUGCAACGAAAGGUCUGCUAUACGAGGAAUAUUUAUGCAUAGAAACAUGAAGACAUUCAAUCAUUUGUUUCUAGAUAUAAAAAACCAGAAAGGAUAGUAAUCUGCAAAGUUGUUAAUAAUUUGAGAAUUGUGAAUACUCACAUGCGGCUUCAAAUAU
rnacentral:misc_RNA from 1 species